rnacentral:misc_RNA from 1 species
GCCUCCUGAUUUUAGCAAUAUGGGGAGGAUGAAGCUGGCAAAGAAGUUGCAGGGCACAUAAGUGUAGGGGAUCCCUGCAGCUUCAGUAGCACGGCGAAUUUUAGCCUUUGUCUCAAAUACAGAUUUUGCUGGCUCAACAGCAUGAACAUGAUCUACAUCAUUCCCAAACUCCGAAGGGAAGAACCUCUUGACAUUACCAGCUUCUUUAAUGGCGGAAAUAAUAUUGGUCUGAUCAGCUAGUUGCAGGGCACCAACUGUUGAUACCACCACAUCCACCUGCUUAAUGGC